AGAGUUUGAUCCUGGCUCAGGACGAACGCUGGCGGCGUGCCUAACACAUGCAAGUCGAGCGGAAAGGCCCUUCGGGGUACUCGAGCGGCGAACGGGUUAGUAACACGUGAGCAAUCUGCCCUUAGCUCCGGGAUAGCUCCGGGAAACCGGAAUUAAUACCGGAUAUGACUGCGGCCGACAUCGGCCAUGGUGGAAAGAUU
rnacentral:rRNA from 1 species